AGAGCCCAGCAAGGAGGGCUGGGAUUCACACUGAGCACGUGUGUCUGCCUCGGCUUGGGCUGUUUUCUGGGAUGGACUACCUGAAAUUCAUCAUGUCCACAUCCAUAUGUGUGAAAGUGCAUGAGGAGGACAUGGAAUGAUGCCACAUAUCUUGCUACAAAUAUGUAUAAACAGUUGCUGAAUGUAUGCAUACAGUAUCCCUCCUCAUUGCUGGGCUGUCAGACAUGACAAUCAGAAGCAUUAGCCCAUCCAGGACAACUUCAACUCUAAAAGACACUUAGGUAUUAUGACCAGGGUCCUGACUUGCCCAUCUAUUCUUAGGCAGAAAGGCCACUGUGAAGAGCACUCUAUGUCCCAGAUUGUUGUGCUCCUUCGGAAGGGGCUGAUAACUGUUAAUAGAAUGGAAUUCCAUAUAUAA